rnacentral:ncRNA from 2 species
UAAGGUCGUCAUGUCGUCGGUUCCCCGCGAGGGGAUGUGAAAGGGAACGAGGUAGGGAUUUCCCGAUCCUCGGCUGCCCCCGCAACUGUGAGCGGCAAGCCUUCGCCCGAUAUGCCACUGAAGCCAAAAGCUUCGGGAAGGCGGGCAGGGGCAGUGACCCGCGAGCCAGGAGACCUGCCGCCGGCAUGAACGGGAA